UACGAAGGGGGCUAGCGUUGCUCGGAAUUACUGGGCGUAAAGGGCGCGUAGGCGGCACUGUUAGUCAGGCGUGAAAUUCCUGGGCUCAACCUGGGGACUGCGCUUGAUACGGCAGAGCUAGAGGAUGGAAGAGGCUCGCGGAAUUCCCAGUGUAGAGAUGAAAUUCGUAGAUAUUCGCAAGAACACCAGUGGCGAAGGCGGCUCACUGGCCCGGUACUGACGCUGAGAUACGAAAGCGUGGGGAGCAAACAGG
rnacentral:rRNA from 1 species